GCACGUGUACAGCUGGAUGCAAGCCACGUGUCCAGGUGUGUAACUGCCAGGAGAGAGAAAGUGUCCAGGUAUAUAAGAGUUUCCCAACGAACUUCUGAGGUACACACGUUCAGAUUGUCUUCUUUACGCUUGCGAGUUCUUGAGUAUACUGAGAGAGAACUGGUUCACGGUUCCUUGAGAGAGUUCAUGAGUUUAACUCUUAGUAAUUGGUGGUUCAGUCACUGACUUGGGCGUUGGAGUGCGAUCGGCCGCAGCGGCGCCGUUCUGUUCUUUUGCAGGUUCUUGAGGUGGAUCGCGGUGAAGGACGGAGGCAAACACGACGCAUACGUCGAUCCAAGUUUGACGAGGCAAAGCUCCAGCGUU
rnacentral:lncRNA from 1 species